UACGAAGGGUGCAAACGUUGCUCGGAAUUAUUGGGCGUAAAGCGCACGUAGGCGGCUUUGUAAGUCGGAUGUGAAAUCCCUCGGCUUAACCGAGGACGUGCAUCCGAAACUGCGAGGCUCGAGUAUGGAAGAGGGUCGCAGAAUUCCCGGUGUAGCGGUGAAAUGCGUAGAGAUCGGGAAGAAGGCCGGUGGCGAAGGCGGCGCUCUGGAACAUUUCUGACGCUGAGGCUCGAAAGCGUGGGGAGCAAACAGG
rnacentral:rRNA from 1 species